AUGAACGCUAGCGGCAGGCCUAAUACAUGCAAGUCGAGGGCAGCGGGAGUAGCAAUACUUGCCGGCGACCGGCGCACGGGUGCGUAACGCGUAUGCAAUCUACCUUUCAACUGGAGAAUAGCCCCCUCGAAAGAGGGAUUAAUACUCCAUAAUAUUCGAUUCUGGCAUCAGAGUCCAAUUAAAGCUCCGGCGGUUGAAGAUGAGCAUGCGUGACAUUAGCUAGUUGGUGAGGUAACGGCUCACCAAGGCUACGAUGUCUAGGGGUUCUGA
rnacentral:rRNA from 1 species